UUAUUUCUCUGGUUUUGUGACCCAAUUACUCUGUACCUCAUGUUCAGUGUCCUCAAGAAAUUCAGUCUUCCAGGUAGACUUCCUCCGAUGCUGUACAAGUUUCAGUAUCUUGAAUCGAUUGACUUAUACCAUAAUUACCUUCAUGGCUCAAUUCCUAUGGAAUGGUCCUCACUGCCUUACCUCAAAUCUAUCUCUCUCUGCGCAAACCGCUUAUCAGGAGACAUUCCCA